GUACGCUGGCGGCACGCCUAACACAUGCAAGUCGAACGAAGUAGCAAUACUUAGUGGCAGACGGGUGAGUAACAUGUAGGUAUCUGCCCUUUGGCCUGGAAUAACACGAGGAAACUUGUGCUAAUACCGGAUAAGUCUUUACGGAGAAAGCUUUAUGCGCCAUUGGAUGAGCCUGCACUUGAUUAGUUUGUUGGUGGGGUAAUGGCCUACCAAGACUGUGAUCAAUAGCUGAUCUGAGAGGAUGAUCAGCCACAUUGGGACUGAGACACGGCCCAAACUCCUACGGGAGGCAGCAGUAGGGAAUAUUGCACAAUGGAGGAAACUCUGAUGCAGCGAUGCCGCGUGAGUGAAGAAGGCCUUUGGGUUGUAAAGCUCUUUCGUCGGGGAAGAAAAUGACUGUACCCGAAUAAGAAGGUCCGGCUAACU
rnacentral:rRNA from 1 species